CACGUAGGGCGCAAGCGUUGUCCGGAAUUACUGGGCGUAAAGGGCGUGCAGGCGGUCUGUUAAGUUCAGGGUGAAAGCUCCCGGCUCAACUGGGAGAGGUCCUUGGAUACUGGCAGACUUGAGGAGGGUAGAGGAGAGUGGAAUUCCCGGUGUAGUGGUGAUAUGCGUAGAUAUCGGGAGGAACACCAGUGGCGAAGGCGGCUCUCUGGGCCCUACCUGACGCUGAGACGCGAAAGCGUGGGGAGCGAACCGG
rnacentral:rRNA from 1 species